rnacentral:rRNA from 1 species
CGCCAGACUCCUACGGGAGGCAGCAGUGGGGAAUAUUGCACAAUGGGGGGAACCCUGAUGCAGCGACGCCGCGUGGGUGAAGGAGCACCUCGGUGCGUAAAGCCCUCUCGGCAGGGAAGAAACAGACGGUACCUGACUAAGAAGCCACGGCUAACUACGUGCCAGCAGCCGCGGUAAUACGUAGGUGGCAAGCGUUAUCCGGAUUUACUGGGUGUAAAGGGCGUGUAGGCGGGGACGCAAGUCAGAUGUGAAAACCACGGGCUCAACCUGUGGCCUGCAUUUGAAACUGUGUUUCUUGAGUACUGGAGAGGCAGACGGAAUUCCUUGUGUAGCGGUGAAAUGCGUAGAUAUAAGGAGGAACACCAGUGGCGAAGGCGGUCUGCUGGACAGCAACUGACGGUGAGGCGCGAAAGCGUGGGGAGCAAACAGGAUUAGAUACCCCUGUAC